rnacentral:rRNA from 1 species
UACGUAGGGUCCGAGCGUUGUCCGGAAUUACUGGGCGUAAAGAGCUCGUAGGUGGUUUGUCGCGUUGUCCGUGAAAACUCACAACUCAAUUGUGGGCGUGCGGGCGAUACGGGCAGGCUGGAGUACUGCAGGGGAGACUGGAAUUCCUGGUGUAGCGGUGGAAUGCGCAGAUAUCAGGAGGAACACCGGUGGCGAAGGCGGGUCUCUGGGCAGUAACUGACGCUGAGGAGCGAAAGCGUGGGGAGCGAACAGG